GGCCUCGUAGCUCAGCUUGGAUUAGAGCACUUCCCUCCUAACCGGAAAGAUGUAAAUCUUUACGGGCUGGCGAUUGAAUCGCAAUCGAGAGAGGAAGGGGUCGCAGGUUCGAAUCCUGUCGAGGCCG
rnacentral:tRNA from 1 species